ensembl:lincRNA
CCCCCCCUGUGUGUGUGUGUGUGUGUGUGUGUGUGUGUGUGUCACUUUCAGGAGACACUGCUGGCUCAUGGCUUGGUGCAGACACUGUGUGAAGUACUUCUGGAGAACCAGCUGACAGCUUUCAGCACGGGCCUCGCUGCCAACAUGCUGGAGCACCUCACGGAGCCAUCCAGCUUGCGGUUGAUUCUGCGAGCACAAGGACCCGAGGCCUUGUUGCAGGCUGUAGACAAGUUGCAGACAUUUUCCGAUUGUGAAUCAUCCAUGGCAUUAGUCCUGUGUGCUCUGGCAUCCCUACUGAAGUUUGAUGCUGUCCAAAGGUAUGUUCCCCCCACCUUCGUGAGCCAUUCUGUACAGCUACUGCUCUGCAUCCGAGCUGCCUACUCAUGCCCACAUGUCCGUCUGCAUGCCCGCAACGCUCUGCUGUACCUCACACAAGAGUGUCGAGCGGAGUCUUUGGGCUCCUUCCUGCCCGGGGUGGUCGACAUGUUGGAGGUUCUGCUCACGGAGCACAAGCUGCACAGCCAGGAACUUGCACUGUUAAUCCUCACUUCGCUCACCCCUGACCCUUUUGUCCGACGUUCGAUCAACCAAGGCAGCUUGUCCCACCCCGUGAGAGAGCUGGGUGCCGAGCUUGAUAAAGUACGAGAUCUUGUCGCUUCACUACUCACUCGAUGCCAAUCACCUUCACCGACACCCUCACCCGGAGCCGUGCUGGAUCCCUCACCCGGAGCCGUGCUGGAUCCCUCACCUGGAGCCGUGCUGGAUCCCUCAUGAAACCGCCAAAAAAACCCCACAUCCCUCAGCAGGGAUCAAGGCUUCACAGCUGGAACUGGAAGUGCUUUCACCUCCAUUAGUUCUUCCGAAAUCCAAUACAAACAUCACUAACUCCACCUCUUUAAUGUAUCAGCUGUGUGUUCCAUUAACGAUUAGCUUGUAGAGCGCUCGCCAAGCGGCUUAAGCACUCCGACGAAACGGCUGAUCAGGAACGGCUGGCUUAGCAAGCACCGGCUAGCUGAUUGGUCAUGGAACACACCUCAGGUGCAAUUUUUCCGCCAUUCAAGAACUGUAACCUGAGUUUGUGUUCAGGAUUUAUGACCAUAAAACAAGCAUCACUUGGAGCUGUUUAUUUCACAUUCAACGUUAUUAAUUAUAUAAUUUUUCCACCGUGUUUUCAAACACAGACAGCAGAAAACUUCUUCUUCUUCCUCUUUUUCUUCCUCUUCUUCUUCCUCUUCAACCUCUUCUUCUAUUCUUCUUCUUCUUCUUUCGUUUUCAGCAUGUGGCUCUGAAUAGCAUCAUUGGCUCAGAAGUGAGCGCAUACUGUGCCACUGAUACAACACCAUCUGUAGGUUAGGACAGGCAAUUAGAUUUGGCCAUGCUGCCGGCGAUAGCUCGCCUACUCUUCACCAAGGACAUUGUGGGAUCUUUAACUUCCACCAACUAAUUCCGACAGACGAGACGCCGAGUUUAACAUCCAUUCCGAGGGACGUGCCACACAUGACGAAUCACCCUGCAUGUGAAACGCCAAGAUGACAAUUUACAUCUGCAUCGGGAUUCGAACCUCGGGCAGACAACUCAAAGGGAAAUACACAUUCCUCCAGGCUAUCCUUGCCAGUCUUUAAAAACCUUUAUAGUUUUCGUCGUGACCUUGUCUUGUGAGUUUUCGUCGAACUUGUCUUACCGAGUGCUUGAGGCCUAUCCAUCUCCCCCUCGGUGUAUGAUCGUGUUUAUUUGUAUUUUCUCCCCAUUACCUUCAAUUUCUAUCUUCCCCACUUUCCCAACGCCCCCAUCCCUCCCAACUAAACACUCUAUUUCUUGUCUUAAAUAAUAAAAUAAAAAACUACCUUUCUCCUUGCACACACAAGUCUCGAUUUUUCUUCUUAUUCUGCAUCCUCCUCUUCUUCUUCCUCCUGCCGGCACACCAUCUUUAUUCGACUGAGCUGACCCUCUCUCGCCAUGACCUUCACGGUCUCUUCCGAUCUACAACCUUCCAUUCCCGAAUCUUACCUGUUCUUCAAAAAUACAUCAAAAAAUAAUAAUCUUCCUUGUCUCCUUUCGAUCUCGACACCUCCUGUAAUCACGUGUCUCUCUCUACUCUUCCUGGUACUUUUCAUCGACCCAGCAGCUUCACACUGUGUUUACCGUUCCAAAUUCACCACACACUUCCACGAUUUUACUUCAACCUUCCUUUUUCCAAACGUUACGCAAUCCGAUUGAAAAUAAAUAAUUUCACUUUUGAUGAUACACCUCCUAUAGCCACGUCCCCCCCCC